rnacentral:snoRNA from 1 species
UCAUUAUGGUGCUUAAUUUACAAACAUUCAGUUUCCACCAGAAAAGUUUUUCUUUAUGUUGACCAGUUCUUCCUUGGAUGUCUGAGUGA